rnacentral:lncRNA from 1 species
UUUAUUUGGAAAUAGGGGUUUUACAGGCAUAAUUAGUUAAGCUGAAGUCAUACUGCAUAGGGUGGGCCCUGGAUCCAAAGCCUGAUGUUCCUAGAAGAGGCUAGAACACAGAGGGGAGACGGCCAGGGGACAGUGGUGGCAGAGAUGGGGUGAUGUGUCUACGAGCUGAAGACAUCAAGGAGCGCUGGCGGCACCACCAGGAGCUGGAGGGGCAGGCAGGAGCCCCCAGAGCCUUCGGAGGGAGCUGGGCCAUGGUCUGGACUUCUUGCCACAGGUCCUGUGAGAGCAUAAAUCCUGGUUGUCUGAGUUGCCCACAAUGUCCCCAGGGCACUCGGACACCCACGAGUACGGAUCCGUGGGUGGUGGAGGACCUGAGGCACUUGCUGUGAACUCUGCCGCCCUGAAUCGUCUCCUUGGGCCACCACGGGGCUGGGUUAGGCUGGAGGCCACCGGCUUCUAAGUGUCUCCCUCUCUGCUGGGACCACAUGGCAACCACCAGGGCAGCUCUGCCAUUUGUUAACAGUGUCAUUUCUUUCAUAGAAAGGCACAAGAUGGGAGUCACGGAGAAUCCUGGAGGGGCAGCGCGUCCUCCUGCACCACAGCCCUGCCCGGCCCCCAGCGAGCCACACAGCCCAGCUGCAGAGCGGAGCCUCAAGCACAGCAGGGAAGCAGGUUACAAGUGCAAACCUCCAAACCCAGAUGCUGCAUGCCGUGGUUCCAGGGGGAGUCUGGUGCCUCUCAGCAACAGCACCUUUGCGGGGCUCUCCCGAGGACGUCAGAGGGGGGCUCGCUCCCCAUCACAGCAGAAGCUCCCUGUGUUCAGACUGCUCCUUCGGCAGAAACCUCUUCACUCCCUCAAACCCAGCAUCUUUGCCACGUCUGCCCUGUCUUUUCUUCCCCAGAAUCCAGGCUGUG